rnacentral:rRNA from 1 species
UACAGAGGUCUCAAGCGUUGUUCGGAUUUAUUGGGCGUAAAGAGCUCGUAGGCGGCUAAGUAAGUCGGGUGUGAAAACUCCAGGCUCAACCUGGAGACGCCACCUGAUACUGCUUUGGCUAGAGUCCGGUAGGGGAGCAUGGAAUUCCUGGUGUAGCGGUGAAAUGCGCAGAUAUCAGGAGGAACACCAGUGGCGAAGGCGGUGCUCUGGGCCGGAACUGACGCUGAGGAGCGAAAGCGUGGGGAGCAAACAGG